CUCAGUUUUUGUUGCCAUUACCACUUCCAGGCCAAAGCUAUGUAGAAGAGACUGGCUUCAUUCACUUGGUAUAAUGUUUUGAAGUCUCCACAUGUCGUAGCAUGUUUCAUAGUCUGUUCUACAGUAUAGUUUAAUAAUAUUCCAUUGCAUGGGUAUAUCAUAUCGGUUUAAUCCAUUGAUCCAUUCAAUAGAUAUUUGGAUUGAUUCCAAUUUCAUCCUAUUAUGAAGAAUUCUGCUAUGAACAUUCCAGUACAAAUCUUUGUGUGUUUCAUUUUUAUUGGCAAUAUGAUUCCUAAGAUAGGAUUUGCUGAGUCAUAUGACUUGCUGUUCAUUACUGUGGGAGGACGAACACUCUGCAUCUAUUCCUGAGGUCACCAACCAGUAAAUACAUCUCCAUUUGGCAAGUUAACGGCUGCUCUGAAACAGAAGCUAGGAGAUCAUAUCGACCCGUCAUUGACUUUGCAAAAAGCACAUUUGCCAGUCCCACUGAAAAGGUACACAAAAGGGUGUGGCAAACAACAUGGCCGCUGUGGAACCCAACGGGAGAGCUCUUCAAGAAAUGUAACUGGAAUUACAAUAUGAUCUAGCAAUUCUACUUCUAGGGGGAAAAAAAAACUGCUAUGGAAAGAAAUCAGAAGCAAGAGCAAACCAAGAAGAAAAAUAAAGAAUAUG